rnacentral:rRNA from 1 species
GAUGAACGCUGGCGGCGUGCCUAAUACAUGCAAGUCGAGCGAAGCGGGCACGGGUGAGUAAAACGUGGAUAACCUCCUACACGAAUGGGAUAACUUCGGGAAACAGGAGUUAAACCGGAUACUUAUAGUUGGAUCCGCGCUGCAUUAGCUAUUUGGUAAGGUAACGGCUUACCAAGUGAACGAUGGAUAGCCGACCUGAGAGGGUGAUCGGCCACAUUGGAACGGAGACACGGUCCGAACUCCUACGGGAGGCAGCAGGAGGGAAUCUUCCGCAAGGGGCGAAAGCCUGACGGAGAAACGCCGCGUGAUGGAUGAAGGUUUUGGGAUCGUAAAACUUGGUUAUUAGGGAAGCGGUACCGAAUCAGAAAGCCACGGCUAACUACGUGCCAGCAGCCGCGGUAAUUC